GCUUGCCCGCGGGAGAAGAGCGGAGGAGAGAGCAUCCUCUCGGGGCUUGCUCGCAGGAGAAGAGCGGAGGAGAGAAGAGAAGACACUAGAAGGUUCGGGAAGAAGCAAUCCGGCUCGCGAGGGAAACGCGUCCGCGAGGAAAAUGGCGUGUGAAAACCCGUUCGGGUUCCAGUUUUAAGUGGAGAAACCGAGGGAAACGAAGAUGCACUCUCGCGCGCUGUGUCCCCGACCCGGUUCGGUCUAGUACGAUACCGGUGCUGGUGCAUACCGGUACAUCAAUACGGCCGGUAUCGCAGACCUUGCUUAGUUGUGUAUCAAUUUCAUUUGGCUAUAUAGUUUUAAGGAUGGAGGACUUUUUUCUUGUUUAGUUCUUUCCAUUUGGUUCAGAGUAUUUUACACUAAGCAUUUGGAUCUUUUUGAGGGUGUUCUCUAAUCUGACAUGCAAGGUGUUCAUACUGAGUUCUUUGCUAUUUUCUGUUUUUUUCUCUUCACAAGCUUGGACAAACUAGUCAUUAGAUUUAAUAGGUUCCUUUGGUCAUUUCUGGUGCCAACUAUCAUAAUGGGGCAUGUCAUAAGAUUAUUGAUGUUCAUCUCCUUCAAUGGGACCAUAACUUGUAAACUCAAUAACUUGGGAGGAUAAGGUGAUGAUGGGCCAUGUUUUCACCACAUGACAUCUUCUAGCUUUACGGAAUCAUUAUGUGGUAGUGUUUUAUAAUUGAUGCCUUGAUCUAUACAUCCAACCGCUUAUUUUGGAAAAUAGAGAGGUUCUUACAUAUAGUUGAUUACUAGAGCUAUUGGGUUGACAUAAUAGACCCCUAGAGCGUGCUCUCUUCUAAAGGGUACUCACUUGGGCUACCUAUUCUGCCACCGAGACAGCGGUAAUCCCCUGGCUAUUGCACUUAGGGCCCAGGCAGCCCUGUAUAGAGUCAAGCUGCUUAGCGGACG
rnacentral:lncRNA from 1 species